rnacentral:lncRNA from 13 species
UGAGUAUAUAAACUAUAAAUACAUAAUAAUUUUUCUAUUACUGCCUAGAAGCAUUAUUUCUAGCUAUAUUAUAUCAAUCAGCCAAUAACAUGAAUAUGAAUACUGAUGGCAACACUACCUAAUGUUUAUGGUAUUACCAGGAGAAGGGACUAGAGGAUUUGUGAUUUAUCUGUUGCCUUGAUUUAGUGACUCAACUUUCUGUACAUUGAAAGUUGCCUUUAAUAAAAAAAAAAGUAUUUGACUUCUUAUUAUGAAGUCACAGUGGAUGUGAUGUAUGAGAUACAGAUCUUUUAACAGUAGAAUCUUUGUUCAUUUAUGUACUCACUUGGUCACUCACUGAUGACAACUAAUUGUCCUCAGAGCUGUGGCUUGGCAUUGGAAGAACCAUGAUGAACAGACAGAGACUGCCCUCAUAAAACUUACAGGCUCAUGUCAGAACAGACAUUAAGCUAAAUAUUCAGACAAAUAAGUGCAAAAUUGCAACUGCUUUCUGGAGGCUGGAAAGUCUAUGAUCAAGGCACAAGCAGAUUUGGCGUCUGAUGAGGGCUGAUUUCCUGGUUUAUCGAUCAUGCCAUCUCAUUGUGUGGUCACAUGGUGGAAGAGGGAAGGCGGAUGUCCGGGGUCUAUUUUAAUGGCAAAUGGACCUCCCUGGAGUGGCUGGGGCAUUCAAAGUCUCUAUCCUAUGCUGACUGGAAAGAAAGCAGAGAAAUGCAUAAAUGGAAGAAGCGUAUUACGUGAGUUGAUCUUUGAAAGGGUGAUCAUAUGGUGUCUGUGUUUCAUUCCAUGGAUGUGAUGAAUCAUGCUUAUUGAUUUGCAUAUGUGGAAUCAUCCUUACAUCCCUGAGGUAAGCCCCACUUGAUCAUUGUG